rnacentral:rRNA from 1 species
GACGAACGCUGGCGGCGUGCCUAACACAUGCAAGUCGAGCGAGUGAAUCUUCUUCGGGAGUGAAGCUAGCGGCGGACGGGUGAGUAACACGUGGGCAACCUGCCUCAUAGAGGGGAAUAGCCUUCCGAAAGGAAGAUUAAUACCGCAUAAGAUUGUAGCUUCGCAUGAAGUAGCAAUUAAAGGAGCAAUCCGCUAUGAGAUGGGCCCGCGGCGCAUUAGCUAGUUGGUGAGGUAACGGCUCACCAAGGCGACGAUGCGUAGCCGACCUGAGAGGGUGAUCGGCCACAUUGGGACUGAGACACGGCCCAGACUCCUACGGGAGGCAGCAGUGGGGAAUAUUGCACAAUGGGGGAAACCCUGAUGCAGCAACGCCGCGUGAGUGAUGACGGCCUUCGGGUUGUAAAGCUCUGUCUUCAGGGACGAUAAUGACGGUACCUGAGGAGGAAGCCACGGC